rnacentral:lncRNA from 1 species
AUGUUAACGUCUUUUUCACCAAGUGGGACUUAUUUCGCGCAGUUAGGUUGGUGCGCUUCGCAGAGGACUCCCGCAGGCGCAGUACUUCAGCUUUUCUGUCCGACCUCCGCUCUGCAGGCCUUCCAAGUCCUCUGGCAGGCCCUGCUCGGACUCCUUCCUUAUCCCUGGUCUCUGUCAACCUUCAUCCAUAUUUCCAGAAUUCUUACAACUGCACCGCUGCAGGAACUUCCCAUCAUCUGCAUCUUCAAAUAUGAUCAGAUGUCUGGAAUUGUUUCCAAAAAUCCUCGAGGUUGGAGAGAGAGUAGGAAAACGGUCACCUGAGAAACAAAGACGGGCUUCAGAUGCAUCUGUGACACAUUAGACACAAAGUGGAGACACCUGAUUGCAUUCUCCCCUUGGGCUUCAGCAGCUGCUCUGAAAUGUUCCACAGAGAGUCGAGUAAACUCAGGCAAGCACACAGUGAGUUUGCCUUCCUUCCUAAUUCAAAGUGCAGCUAUUGCUUCAGGAUGGAGAAGUGAGGAACCAGAGCCAACCAUGUUGCUUUCACCCUUUGCGCUCAAGAUGAUGUGAAACAGC